rnacentral:rRNA from 1 species
UAUUGGACAAUGGGCGGAAGCCUGAUCCAGCAACGCCGCGUGAGGGAUGACGGCCUUCGGGUUGUAAACCUCUUUCAGUACUGACGAAGCGUGAGUGACGGUAGGUACAGAAGAAGCACCGGCCAACUACGUGCCAGCAGCCGCGGUAAUACGUAGGGUGCGAGCGUUGUCCGGAAUUAUUGGGCGUAAAGGGCUCGUAGGCGGUUUGUCGCGUCGGGAGUGAAAACCAGGUGCUUAACACCUGGCUUGCUUUCGAUACGGGCAGACUUGAGGAAUGCAGGGGAGAACGGAAUUCCUGGUGUAGCGGUGAAAUGCGCAGAUAUCAGGAGGAACACCGGUGGCGAAGGCGGUUCUCUGGGCAUGUCCUGACGCUGAGGAGCGAAAGUGUGGGGAGCGAACAGG